GCAAGCGUUGUCCGGAUUUAUUGGGCGUAAAGAGCGUGUAGGCGGUUUGGUAGGUCCGCUGUGAAAACUCGAGGCUCAACCUCGAGACGCCGGUGGAAACCAUCAGGCUAGAGUCCGGAAGAGGAGAGUGGAAUUCCUGGUGUAGCGGUGAAAUGCGCAGAUAUCAGGAAGAACACCCGUGGCUAAGGCGGCUCUCUAGUACGGUACUGACGCUGAGACGCGAAAGCGUGGGGAGCGAACAGG
rnacentral:rRNA from 1 species